rnacentral:rRNA from 1 species
AACGAACGCUGGCGGCAUGCCUAACACAUGCAAGUCGAACGAGACCUUCUGGUCUAGUGGCGCACGGGUGCGUAACGCGUGGGAACCUGCCCUUAGGUUCGGAAUAACUCCCCGCAAGGGGUGCUAAUACCGGAUAAUGUCUUCGGACCAAAGAUUUAUCGCCUUUGGAUGGGCCCGCGUUGGAUUAGCUAGUUGGUAGGGUAAAAGCCUACCAAGGCGACGAUCCAUAGCUGGUCUGAGAGGAUGAUCAGCCACACUGGGACUGAGACACGGUCCAGACUCCUACGGGAGGCAGCAGUGGGGAAUAUUGGACAAUGGGCGAAAGCCUGAUCCAGCAAUGCCGCGUGAGUGAUGAAGGCCUUAGGGUUGUAAAGCUCUUUUACCCGGGAUGAUAAUGACAGUACCGGGAGAAUAAGCUCCGGCUAACUCCGUG